GAUAUUCCCAUUUCUAAUGGAUUCAAUGAAGAAGUUUCCCACAAUUUAAACAUGGGAUUAGAAGGAAAUUCCAUAUCUUAUGUACUAUACAAUUCUGUCAUUUUUUCUGGGUUCUCAUAUGUUUCAGCCUCUCUUAAGAAAGUUAUAGGGAACAGUUUCCCUCUUCCCUUCUCUGUGCCAUACCAGUCCCUGGCUAAUUACUUUUGUUUCAAUGGAAAAGAAGCUAAUGAUCGAAGCACAGAAGAGGUUCCAGUUUUGGAAACUUUGGAAGCUUCCAACCAUUGUGAUCUGGUAUCUAAGGAUGGUUCUGAUGAAGAGAAAUUACUUGA
rnacentral:misc_RNA from 1 species